rnacentral:lncRNA from 1 species
UAGGUAUCUUGAAUUGCUUGGCUUUUUAUAAUUCCCUGAAAACGCUGGCUUGCUGAACUAUACCACUGCUUCAGGAAGAGUGUUGGUAAUUGGUGUUUCUCCGUUACUAUACCAUCCCACAAUGUGUUUGAGGGAAGCAAUUAUGGCUUGCUCAUAUCUGGAGACACUACAACACUUUAUGCAAUGCUUAAGCAUGCAGUCUUCAGGCUGUUGUCAUUUGAACUAGAACACAACCAUGAGCCCUCCUGGGUCUCCAGCCUGUUGGCCAACACAGCAGAUUUUGGACUUGCCAGUCUCCAUUAUCAUGUGAGUCGAUUUACAUA